CUUUGAGCGGUGGAUCACUCGGCUCACGGGUCAAUGAAAGAACGCAGCCAGCUGUCAGAUUUGGUGUGAAUUACGGGACAUUGAGCACCGAUUUUUCCAGACCGCAUUGCGGCCUCGGGUAAUGCCCGGGGCCUCGCCUGUCUGAGGGUC